UUUUUUUUCCUUUCUUCUUCUUCUCUUAACUUUCUUUUCCUUCCUUUCAAACCCUAGCCGCCGCCAUUGGUGAUUCCUUGCUCCGUUCGGCGGUGUAACGGCCGACGUUUCCCUCUCGUUCCUUCUAUUCUUUUCUUCCUUCCUCCUUUUCUUCUUUUCCUUUUCUCUUUUCUUUCCCCUUUCUCUCCUUCCCUUUCCUCUCUUUUCUUUCUCUUCUAUUUCUCUUCUCGACCACCUCAAGGUUGAAAGCGCCGCCGCUGCGCUCGUCCUUGGCUCUUCUCCGCCCUCGGUGGCCCACGAAGAAGGCCAAAAUUUCUUACUAAUUUUAUUUUUUUUGCUGCUGUUUUUUUACUGUGUUUUUCUUGUUUUUUUUUGGUUGCUUGUUACUUGUUGUGUUUGAUUUGUUGUAGAUGCUGUCGGUGGAGUAACACUGGUGGUGGCGCGGCGGUCUUGGUGGCGGUGGGGGGCGAAAGGAUGUUCUCUCUUUUUUUUUUUUGCUCUCUGUUUUCUGUUUUCUUUUUUUGGCUUCCAAAAAUCCUUCCUCCCCUUUCUCUUCAAUUUUUCUUUUUAAUCCCUCAAAAUUGUCUUCUUCAUCUUUGUUUUUAGGUGACAGGGGAAGGAAAUCAUGGCCUAGGGAGCUGCCGGAGUAGCUGGAAGUGGCAGGAGCAUGCUUGGAUGCCGAUUGGGUGAUUUGACAAGUCCAGAAGGACCAAAAUGUAGAAGACACAAAAUAUUUGGGGUAAAAAUGUAAUUUUGGGAAAUAUAGGGCCGAUAUGUAAUUUUUAUAAAGUUUAGGGGUCAAAGUGUAAUUUUAAGAAAGUUUAGGGGUUGAAAUGUAAUUUUAGAAAAUUUUGGGGUCAAAAUGUAAAUUUUUAAAAGUAUAGGAGUUAAAACGUAAUUUUUAUUUUUUGCAUUUUUUUCAAAUUUUAUUAUUACUAUUUUAUUAAUGUUUAAAACAAAAAUUAAAAAUGGGCAAAAAUAAGUCUGAAAUUAAAUUCCAACAGGCCCAAUCGUUAGGCCCAUAUGAGACCAGCCUGGCCCAAAACCCUACCCGGGCAAAAUUCAGUGAUUACAAACAUUUGUGAGUAUAAUUGUUUUAUAAUCACUACAAUUAAGUUAGAUUUAAAUCAUCUCUUGUAAAAUAAAGAUUAUAGUGAUUUAUCUUUUGAGAAUAUUUUGUAAGUAUAGAAUUAUGUUCAAACUGCGUAAAAAAUCUCAUAUAUUAUUAUUAUUUUA
rnacentral:lncRNA from 1 species